AGUGAACGCUGGCGGUAGGCCUAACGCAUGCAAGUCGAACGGCAGCACAGUAAGAGCUUGCUCUUACUGGUGGCGAGUGGCGGACGGGUGAGGAAUACAUCGGAAUCUACUUUUUCGUGGGGGAUAACGUAGGGAAACUUACGCUAAUACUGCAUACGACCUACGGGUGAAAGCAGGGGAUCUUCGGACCUUUCGCGAUUGAAUGAGCCGAUGUCGGAUUAGCUAGUUGGCGAGGUAAAGGCCCACCAAGGCGACGAUCCGUAGCUGGUCUGAGAGGAUGAUCAGCCACACUGGAACUGAGACACGGUCCAGACUCCUACGGGAGGCAGCAGUGGGGAAUAUUGGACAAUGGGCGAAAGCCUGAUCCAGCCAUACCGCGUGGGUGAAGAAGGCCUUCGGGUUGUAAAGCCCUUUUGUUGGGAAAGAAAAGCAGCAGGUUAAUACGCCGCUGUUCUGACGGUACCCAAAGAAUAAGCACCGGCUAACUUCGUG
rnacentral:rRNA from 1 species